AUAAUGCUGCAAUGAACAUGGGGGUGCAUAUCUUUUCAAGUCCGUGUUUUCAUUUUCUCCAGAGAAAAAGAGUGAAACAACAUCCAUUCUCUAUUCAUGAUCUCUGUUCCUUUCGUAUGUACAAGGGUCUCUAGAAUGAGAGGGCAGUUCUGCAGCCUAGAUCUCCCGAAGUGCAGCAAACAUCUGUGACUCUAAUGAGGUCAUCAUUGAGGGUGUCCAGAGAGCCGGGCCCUGAGAACUGACCUCACCUCUGCCUGAACAUAAAGUACAAGUGCUGUGGGGAAGCAGGACAAAUUAAAUGGGGGAGCUGGCACUUGGCUAUGAAGCAGAUGCUCAUGCUAAGAGGCUCUCAUGGUUCAUGACUCGUAGGUUAUGAAGUCAAAAGAUUCUUGGCUAUGGCUUUAAAAAUGAACAUCUUCAUGACUCAUUUUAAUCCAGAUCUCAUCACAUGCAUGGAAAGAGAUGUGUUCGGGUGACUACAUUUUAGAAAACGGUGUCUGUCAGAGAAUCAUUGCCAUCCACAUGUGAGCGAUAUCAAGAGAAAUAUCUUUCUGACUCAAGCUUAUGCCUAUUCUGUUUUGAUUGUUCUUAAUCUACAAGUGUCCUUGAAAACCAAUC